rnacentral:rRNA from 1 species
GAUGAGUAGGGCGGGACACGUGGUAUCCUGUCUGAAUAUGGGGGGACCAUCCUCCAAGGCUAAAUACUCCUGACUGACCGAUAGUGAACCAGUACCGUGAGGGAAAGGCGAAAAGAACCCCGGCGAGGGGAGUGAAAAAGAACCUGAAACCGUGUACGUACAAGCAGUGGGAGCACGCUUCGGCGUGUGACUGCGUACCUUUUGUAUAAUGGGUCAGCGACUUAUAUUCUGUAGCAAGGUUAACCGAAUAGGGGAGCCGAAGGGAAACCGAGUCUUAACUGGGCGUUAAGUUGCAGGGUAUAGACCCGAAACCCGGUGAUCUAGCCAUGGGCAGGUUGAAGGUUGGGUAACACUAACUGGAGGACCGAACCGACUAAUGUUGAAAAAUUAGCGGAUGACUUGUGGCUGGGGGUGAAAGGCCAAUCAAACCGGGAGAUAGCUGGUUCUCCCCGAAAGCUAUUUAGGUAGCGCCUCGUGAAUUCAUCUCCGGGGGUAGAGCACUGUUUCGGCAAGGGGGUCAUCCCGACUUACCAACCCGAUGCAAACUGCGAAUACCGGAGAAUGUUAUCACGGGAGACACACGGCGGGUGCUAACGUCCGUCGUGAAGAGGGAAACAACCCAGACCGCCAGCUAAGGUCCCAAAGUCAUGGUUAAGUGGGAAACGAUGUGGGAAGGCCCAGACAGCCAGGAUGUUGGCUUAGAAGCAGCCAUCAUUUAAAGAAAGCGUAAUAGCUCACUGGUCGAGUCGGCCUGCGCGGAAGAUGUAACGGGGCUAAACCAUGCACCGAAGCUGCGGCAGCGACACUAUGUGUUGUUGGGUAGGGGAGCG